rnacentral:rRNA from 1 species
AGCGAACGCUGGCGGCAGGCUUAACACAUGCAAGUCGAGCGGGCACUUUCGGGUGUCAGCGGCGGACGGGUGAGUAACGCGUGGGAACGUGCCCUCUGGUUCGGAAUAACUCAGGGAAACUUGAGCUAAUACCGGAUACGCCCUUUUGGGGAAAGGCUUGCUGCCGGGGGGUCGGCCCGCGUCUGAUUAGCUGGUUGGUGAGGUAACGGCUCACCAAGGCGUCGAUCAGUAGCUGGUCUGAGAGGAUGAUCAGCCACACUGGGACUGAGACACGGCCCAGACUCCUACGGGAGGCAGCAGUGGGGAAUAUUGGACAAUGGGCGCAAGCCUGAUCCAGCCAUGCCGCGUGAGUGAUGAAGGCCUUAGGGUUGUAAAGCUCUUUUAUCCGGGACGAUAAUGACGGUACCGGAGAAAUAAGCCCCGGCUAACUUCGUG